UACGUAGGGGGCAAGCGUUGUCCGGAUUUAUUGGGCGUAAAGAGCGUGUAGGCGGCCGUACAGGUCAGCUGUGAAAACUCGAGGCUCAACCUCGAGACGUCGGUUGAAACCGUACGGCUAGAGUCCGGAAGAGGAGAGUGGAAUUCCCGGUGUAGCGGUGAAAUGCGCAGAUAUCAGGAGGAACACCGGUGGCGAAGGCGGGUCUCUGGGCCGGAACUGACGCUAAGGAGCGAAAGCGUGGGGAGCGAACAGG
rnacentral:rRNA from 1 species